rnacentral:rRNA from 1 species
UACGUAGGGAGCGAGCGUUAUCCGGAUUUAUUGGGUGUAAAGGGUGCGUAGGCGGCUUCUUAAGUCUGUAGUCUAAGCCCGGAGCUUAACUCCGGUUCGCUACAGAAACUGAUUAGCUUGAGUAUGGUAGAGGCAAGUGGAAUUUCUAGUGUAGCGGUUAAAUGCGUAGAUAUUAGAAGGAACACCAGUGGCGAAGGCGACUUGCUGGGCCAUCACUGACGCUGAGGCACGAAAGCGUGGGGAGCAAAUAGG